GAUGAACGCUAGCUACAGGCUUAACACAUGCAAGUCGAGGGGAAACGACAUCGGAAGCUUGCUUUUGAUGGGCGUCGACCGGCGCACGGGUGAGUAACGCGUAUCCAACCUGCCCACCACUUGGGGAUAACCUUGCGAAAGUAAGACUAAUACCCAAUGAUAUCUCUAGAAGACAUCUGAAAGAGAUUAAAGAUUUAUCGGUGAUGGAUGGGGAUGCGUCUGAUUAGCUUGUUGGCGGGGUAACGGCCCACCAAGGCGACGAUCAGUAGGGGUUCUGAGAGGAAGGUCCCCCACAUUGGAACUGAGACACGGUCCAAACUCCUACGGGAGGCAGCAGUGAGGAAUAUUGGUCAAUGGGCGAGAGCCUGAACCAGCCAAGUAGCGUGCAGGAUGACGGCCCUAUGGGUUGUAAACUGCUUUUAUAAGGGAAUAAAGUGAGCCUCGUGAGGCUUUUUGCAUGUACCUUAUGAAUAAGGACCGGCUAAUUCCGUGCCAGCAGCC
rnacentral:rRNA from 1 species